rnacentral:rRNA from 1 species
CACAUUGAAUUGUAUACGAGGGCCUCCUGAGUGACGAUAUUGUCUAACGGCCGCUCCUCCCCGUGCGUGGGUAGGUAGCAUACUCACUUGUCCCUUGUGGACUAACCUGUAUGAAUGCAUCCACAGUUAUACUGUCUCCUUUUUCUAUUCAAUGAAACUAAUCUCCCCGCCCAAAAACAGGCAUGAAAAAAUAAGACAAAAAAAGCCUACGUAGAGAGAU